rnacentral:rRNA from 1 species
UACGGGGGGGCAAGCGUUGUUCGGAAUUACUGGGCGUAAAGGGCUCGUAGGCGGCCAACUAAGUCGGACGUGAAAUCCCCAGGCUCAACCUGGGAACUGCGUCCGAUACUGGAUGGCUUGAAUCCGGGAGAGGGAUGCAGAAUUCCAGGUGUAGCGGUGAAAUGCGUAGAUAUACUGGAGGAAUACCGGUGGCGAAGGCGGCAUCCUGGACCGGCAUUGACGCUGAGGAGCGAAAGCCAGGGGAGCAAACGGGG